AACGAACGCUGGCGGCAGGCUUAACACAUGCAAGUCGAACGAGAUCUUCGGAUCUAGUGGCAGACGGGUGGGGAACACGUGGGAACAUCCCUUUCAGUUCGGAAUAACGUUGGGAAACUAACGCUAAUACCGGAUACGUCCUUCGGGAGAAAGAUUUAUCGCUGAAAGAUUGGCCCGCGUCUGAUUAGCUAGUUGGUGAGGUAAUGGCUCACCAAGGCUACGAUCAGUAGCUGAUCUGAGAGGAUGAUCAGCCACAUUGGGACUGAGACACGGCCCAAACUCCUACGGGAGGCAGCAGUGGGGAAUAUUGGACAAUGGGCGCAAGCCUGACCCAGCCAUGCCGCGUGAGUGAUGAAGGCCUUCGGGUUGUAAAGCUCUUUUAUCCGGGAAGAUAAUGACUGUACCGGAAGAAUAAGCCCCGGCAAACUUCGUGCCAGCCGCCGCAGUAA
rnacentral:rRNA from 1 species